AUUGAACGCUGGCGGCAUGCUUUACACAUGCAAGUCGAACGGCAGCGCGGGCUUCGGCCUGGCGGCGAGUGGCGAACGGGUGAGUAAUGCAUCGGAACGUGCCCAGUAGUGGGGGAUAGCCGGCGAAAGCCGGAUUAAUACCGCAUACGACCUGAGGGUGAAAGCGGGGGACCGAAAGGCCUCGCGCUAUUGGAGCGGCCGAUGUCGGAUUAGCUAGUUGGUGGGGUAAAGGCUUACCAAGGCGACGAUCCGUAGCUGGUCUGAGAGGACGACCAGCCACACUGGGACUGAGACACGGCCCAGACUCCUACGGGAGGCAGCAGUGGGGAAUUUUGGACAAUGGGGGCAACCCUGAUCCAGCCAUGCCGCGUGCGGGAAGAAGGCCUUCGGGUUGUAAACCGCUUUUGUUCGGGAAGAAAUCCUCUGGGCUAAUACCCCGGGGGGAUGACGGUACCGGAAGAAUAAGCACCGGCUAACUACGUG
rnacentral:rRNA from 1 species